CGUUGCGAAAUGUUGUAAAAUGCGGAUAAUAUAGCCUUGCGAAGUUUGCCGUUUUUCAGUCAUUUUGUAUUACGCACGGGAAAUUGACAGUCCAAUCGGGUGUUGGGGCAUCAAUUUCCCGUUUGUAAUACAAAAUGACUGAAAAUUGCAAAUUUCGCAAGGCUAUAGACCUUAUUCAUAAAUCGUGACG